rnacentral:rRNA from 1 species
AUUGAACGCUGGCGGCAGGCCUAACACAUGCAAGUCGAACGGAGCGUCGGACGCGUGAGUAAUGCCUAGGAAUCUGCCUGGUAGUGGGGGAUAACGUCCAGAAACGGGCGCUAAUACCGCCUACUCUCAGAUGAGCCUAGGUCGGAUUAGCUAGUGGGGGGGGUAAAGGCCUACCAAGGCGACGAUCCGUAACUGGUCUGCGAGGAUGAUCAUCCACACUGGAACUGAGACACGGUCCAGACUCCUACGGGAGGCAGCAGUGGGGAAUAUUGGACAAUGGGCGAAAGCCUGAUCCAGCCAUGCCGCGUGUGUGAAGAAGGUCUUCGGAUUGUAAAGCACUUUAAGUUGGGAGGCGUUACCAACAGAAUAAGCACCGGCUAACUUCGUGCCAGCAGCCGCGGUAAUAC